AAAAACAAUAAAUAGCCUAAAAAAAAAAGGAAAAAAAACAUUUUUGAACUCUAAGCAACUCAGGAAAUCAAUCAAACUCUAUGUGGAAUUUAUAGAAAUCAAUUGAAAUAUAUUGAACUCUGUAAACUUAAGGGUAAUUUUAUUGGCACCCCCCCAUUUGCUCUUUGCACCCCCACAUUCUCUUUAUAUCCCACUGAAUUUUAGUAAAAUUUAAAAUUACUCACUACAUC
rnacentral:lncRNA from 1 species